CCCUUAGAUGUUCUGGGCUGCACACGUGCUACACUGGCAGGUUCAGCGAGCUUCAUGCCCUGAUCUGAAAGGAAUGGGAAAUCUUUUCAAAACCUGCCGUGCUUGGGAUAGAUGUUUGCAAUUAUUCAACUUCAACGAGGAUUGCCUUGUAAGCGCACGUCAUCAGCGUGCAUUGAAUACGACCCUGUAUUCUGUACACACCGCCCGUCGCUCCUACCGAUUGAAGUUUUCGGUGAGUUGACAGGAGGAUUUUUUUGAAACUGGUUCGCCAGUGGAUUUUAGAUCCAAAUGCCAACGAAUCGAUGGCUUUAGAGGAAGGAGAAGUCGUAACA
rnacentral:rRNA from 1 species